rnacentral:rRNA from 1 species
GACGAAGGGGGCUAGCGUUGUUCGGAAUUACUGGGCGUAAAGCGCACGUAGGCGGACAUUUAAGUCAGGGGUGAAAUCCCAGAGCUCAACUCUGGAACUGCCUUUGAUACUGGGUGUCUUGAGUAUGGAAGAGGAAAGUGGAAUUCCGAGUGUAGAGGUGAAAUUCGUAGAUAUUCGGAGGAACACCAGUGGCGAAGGCGGCUUACUGGUCCAUUACUGACGCUGAGGCACGAAAGUGUGGGGAUCAAACAGG